GAUCCCUUGGCCAAAUGGCAAGGCGUCCGAUUCCAGUUCGAGGGCAUCACAUUAGGCCUUGGAACUUCCGGAAGAUUAUCUGUUCGAUUCAGGUAGGGAUCA